CCGACGGGCACCCUGCUACGCGUGGAUUCUAUUUAUAGUCUUUGGAGAGUUAAGGCGAAGAGCGAUAUAUAGAUGUCGAAAUACCCACGUGCAGGAUAUUAAUUCGCUCUGUACUAUACUAUACUGUGCUACGUAUGUAUAUGGCAUAUUUAAGUAUACAGCAGAAGCAUUGUCAUUAUUCAACAUAGUCUCCCUCGUAUUCAUACCUACCCCUUAACCAACGGCCAUAGACUACAUAAGCCAGAUGAGAUACCAUUUUCAAUGUUGAUACGUGUGCCACGUUUGCGUAUCUAGGUCAGACGAAUGAUCCUCGGGCUGGCAGGGUGUACGGUCUUUUCAGAUACAACAGCUGCACUUUGUUUGCUCAGCGGUCGACCAAUCACGGCCGUAGACCCUGCUCGUAAAUCAUUAGCGCCGCAGCGGCCCAGACGUGAACCUCGUGCGCGGGGAUGGGCCUUUCAAAUUUUACGAACGACUUCGAGAUUAUUUAUCGACUUGCCUUGUUAAAUUGUUGCUAUUAAUAGGAUUGGCGAGGGCGUCGUGGAUUUUUGUGAUUACGGAGGUACGGAAAGUGACGUAAGUGAUUAAGUAUACACCGAGAGCCCUAAAUUGCCAUUAUCUUCAGAGAGAUGGUCGGAGCCAUUAGAUGAUUCGGGUGGCAGAGAAGACGCUAAUGCGAUUUUCAGUCUGCUGGGCCGGAAGCAGGAUUGGCCUUCCCUGUGGGCCCACCAAGUUUACUAUUCGGAUUUGAAACCGUGCUUGCUCAAACGUUACUUGGCUCUGUGAGAAGAGGAAGGCUUACUUCGGAUUCCAAGGACGAUGAUAUUCACGAAUACCGAUCAAGCUAUUCAACCUACGGACGCGGAACACAAAUCCUGCGAAAGGGAAGCCUCCGAGGGGAAGGACUUGGAGAGACGUAGGAGAGACUGACAUUAUGGUCACGCGCGAUACCAUCUUUAGUCAGGACUCCUUAAGUUAGGAUGUUGACUACCCCGAGACUGGGGAAACGCAAGUAUGGCUGGGCUGCUGAAAGUGCACUGACCUCGCGGAAGGUCAACUUUGUUUACAGGCAUGGAUGCUCCAUGGGCGUA